rnacentral:rRNA from 1 species
AUUGAACGCUGGCGGCAUGCCUUACACAUGCAAGUCGAACGGCAGCACGGGUGCUUGCGCCUGGUGGCGAGUGGCGAACGGGUGAGUAAUACAUCGGAACAUGUCCUGUAGUGGGGGAUAGCCCGGCGAAAGCCGGAUUAAUACCGCAUACGAUCUACGGAUGAAAGCGGGGGGCCUUCGGGCCUCGCGCUAUCGGGUUGGCCGAUGGCUGAUUAGCUAGUUGGUGGGGUAAAGGCCUACCAAGGCGACGAUCAGUAGCUGGUCUGAGAGGACGACCAGCCACACUGGGACUGAGACACGGCCCAGACUCCUACGGGGGGCAGCAGUGGGGAAUUUUGGACAAUGGGCGAAAGCCUGAUCCAGCAAUGCCGCGUGUGUGAAGAAGGCCUUCGGGUUGUAAAGCACUUUUGUCCGGAAAGAAAUCCUUGGCCCUAAUACGGUCGGGGGAUGACGGUACCGGAAGAAUAAGCACCGGCUAACUACGUG